UACGUAGGGGGCAAGCGUUGUCCGGAUUUACUGGGCGUAAAGGGCGCGUAGGCGGCGCGACAAGUCACUUGUGAAAUCUCUGGGCUCAACCCAGAACGGUCAAGUGAUACUGUCGUGCUAGAGUGCGGAAGGGGCAACUGGAAUUCUUGGUGUAGCGGUGAAAUGCGCAGAUAUCAGGAGGAACACCUAUUGCGAAGGCAGCUCGCUGGGACGUAACUGACGCUGAGACGCGAAAGCGUGGGGAGCAAACAGG
rnacentral:rRNA from 1 species